GAAAGGGGGAAGAAGGGGUAUGAACCCUAACCACAAGAAAAUCCAGCAAUUGAAGGUGUUAUGGAGCAAGAAUCGAACGCAUGAACUCGUUUUCUUGAUGAUCUAGCCCUAGCAAACAUGUGGAUAGGAAUCACAUUAGCAUGGACUCAAGAACGGAAGGUUAACGGGUCAAGCGGAGGCGAGGAAUCAAGCAUGAACACUAACGCUUAAGGUUGUACAAAUCAUAGAUUAUCACCAUGAGGUGUAGCGAUCAAAGACCGAGUCACGAGAUAGAUUGUACGGGAAUGCUGAUUAUGUAAAAUGAUAGUUAUAAGUUAUGCUUUUAUUAUGUAAAUGAGUACAAAAGAUGCAUAUAAUGUAAGAAAGUGUUUCAUAAUGAACUUGCUAGUAGG